UCCUGGCUCAGAUUGAACGCUGGCGGCAUGCCUUACACAUGCAAGUCGAACGGCAGCGGGGGAAAGCUUGCUUUCCUGCCGGCGAGUGGCGAACGGGUGAGUAAUACAUCGGAACGUGCCCUGUAGUGGGGGAUAACUAGUCGAAAGAUUAGCUAAUACCGCAUACGACCUGAGGGUGAAAGUGGGGGACCGCAAGGCCUCAUGCUAUAGGAGCGGCCGAUGUCUGAUUAGCUAGUUGGUGGGGUAAAGGCCUACCAAGGCGACGAUCAGUAGCUGGUCUGAGAGGACGAUCAGCCACACUGGGACUGAGACACGGCCCAGACUCCUACGGGAGGCAGCAGUGGGGAAUUUUGGACAAUGGGCGAAAGCCUGAUCCAGCAAUGCCGCGUGUGUGAAGAAGGCCUUCGGGUUGUAAAGCACUUUUGUCCGGAAAGAAAUGGCUCUGGUUAAUACCCGGAGUUGA
rnacentral:rRNA from 1 species